rnacentral:rRNA from 1 species
GACGAACGCUGGCGGCGUGCUUAACACAUGCAAGUCACGGGGGUCCCGCAAGGGAUAACCGGCGAACGGGUGCGUAACACGUGAACAACCUGCCCUCGUGUGGGGGAUAGCCAUGCUAACGCGUGGGUAAUACCGCAUACGUUCUCUUUGGGGAGUCCCGAGGAGAGGAAAGCUCCGGCGCACGGGGAGGGGUUCGCGGCCUAUCAGCUAGUUGGCGGGGUAAUGGCCCACCAAGGCGACGACGGGUAGCUGGCUGAGAGGAUGGCCAGCCACAUUGGGACUGAGAGACGGCCCAGACUCCUACGGGAGGCAGCAGUGGGGAAUCUUGCGCAAUGGUCUAACGACUGACGCAGCGACGCCGCGUGUGGGAGGACGCC